GGACAGAUGGCCGAGCGGUCUAUGGCGCUACGUUCAGGUUUCGCUUUGUGAAUCUGACUCGUAGUCUCGAAAGGGGCGUGGGUUGGAAUCCCACUCUGUUCA